AAAGAUGUAGAACUCGCUGCUCCUCCAGCACUUUUUUGGCCUUUGUGUGGAUUGAACUUCUGAAACUCUGUCAUAGAGCAAGGAGCAGAAGCUGUCUUAUAAGGAACGUUCCAUUCAGAAGAUUGAUUCACAAAGAUGUAAACAAACACUCACAUUCUCGCUGCCACACCCACAGCCCACUCU